CGGGAAACUCCGUCGGGUCCCGACAAUGGGGACGCGAAGCAGCGGAGCUGUGUGAGUGGCGGGGUGUGCAGGGUGGCGAGGCCAGAGGGAGCCCCGCAUCGGCGUCUCCCGGUGCAGGUGAAUCUGGUGUUUUCGAGGGGAUCGCGGUCCCGGAAUCAUCAUGAAGGUAAGAUUGUCUACAAAAAACGAACCUCACGGGUUGUAGAAUUCAGGAAAUGGGGGUUGGAUC
rnacentral:lncRNA from 1 species